CAACGCGAAGAACCUUACCUGGACUUGACAUCCUGACUGAAAGCACUUGGAAACAGGAGCCUCUCUUCGGAGCAGCAGAGACAGGUGGUGCAUGGCUGUCGUCAGCUCGUGCCGUGAGGUGUUUGGAUUUAAGUUCCGCAACGAGCGCAACCCUCGCUGUUAGUUGCCAGCAUUAAGUUGGGCACUCUAGCGGUACUGCCGGCGUCAAACCGGAGGAAGUGGGGAUGACGUCAAGUCCUCAUGGCCUUUAUGUCUAGGGCUACACACGUACUACAAUGGCAGGUACAAAGGGCAGCGACACAGCGAUGUGAUGCGAAUCCCGAAAAGCCUGUCUCAGUCCGGAUCGGAGUCUGCAACUCGACUCCGUGAAGUUGGAAUCGCUAGUAAUCGUGGAUCAGCAUGCCACGGUGAAUACCGGUUCCCGGGCCUU
rnacentral:rRNA from 1 species